UACGAAGGGGCUAGCGUUGCUCGGAAUCACUGGGCGUAAAGGGUGCGUAGGCGGGUUUUAAGUCAGAGGUGAAAUCCUGGAGCUCAACUCCAGAACUGCCUUUGAUACUGAAAGUCUUGAGUAUGGGAGAGGUGAGUGGAACUGCGAGUGUAGAGGUGAAAUUCGUAGAUAUUAGGAAGAACACCAGUGGCGAAGGCGGCUUACUGGUCCGGUACUGACGCUGAGGCGCGAAAGCGUGGGGAGCAAACAGG
rnacentral:rRNA from 1 species